AGCAGCCGCGGUAAUUCCAGCUCCAAUAGCGUAUAUUAAAGUUGUUGCAGUUAAAAAGCUCGUAGUUGAAUUUCGGGAUCAAUAUGUUGGUCGUGCCUCGGUACGUACUAGCAUAUUGGUUUCUCCUUUCUGAAGAACCAUGAUGUCAUUUAUUUGGUGUCGUGGGGAAUCAGGACUGUUACUUUGAAAAAUUAGAGUGUUUAAAGCAGGCUCACGCUUGAAUACAUUAGCAUGGAAUAAUGAAAUAGGACGUUUGAUUCUAUUUUGUUGGUUUCUAGGAUCGACGUAAUGAUUAAUAGGGAUAGUUGGGGGCAUUAGUAUUCAAUUGUCAGAGGUGAAAUUCUUGGAUUUAUUGAAGACUAACUACUGCGAAAGCAUUUGCCAAGGAUGUUUUCAUUAAUCAAGAACGAAAGUUAGGGGAUCGAAGACGAUCAGAUACCGUCGUAGUCU
rnacentral:rRNA from 2 species